CGGGACGGGUGAGUAAUGUCUGGGAAACUGCCCGAUGGAGGGGGAUAACUACUGGAAACGGUAGCUAAUACCGCAUAACGUCGCAAGACCAAAGAGGGGACCUUAGGGCCUCUUGCCAUCGGAUGUGCCCAGAUGGGAUUAGCUAGUAGGUGGGGUAAUGGCUCACCUAGGCGACGAUCCCUAGCUGGUCUGAGAGGAUGACCAGCCACACUGGAACUGAGACACGGUCCAG
rnacentral:rRNA from 1 species